rnacentral:rRNA from 1 species
UACGUAGGGGGCAAGCGUUGUCCGGAAUCAUUGGGCGUAAAGCGCGUGUAGGCGGCCCGAUAAGUCCGCUGUGAAAGUCCAGGGCUCAACCCUGGAAUGCCGGUGGAUACUGUCGGGCUCGAGUCCGGAAGAGGCGAGUGGAAUUCCUGGUGUAGCGGUGAAAUGCGUAGAUAUCAGGAGGAACACCGGUGGUGUAGACGGCUUUCUGGACCGUAACUGACGCUGAAACACGAAAGCGUGGGUAGCAAACAGG